rnacentral:rRNA from 1 species
GAUGAACGCUGGCGGCGUGCCUAAUACAUGCAAGUCGAGCGAACAGACGAGGAGCUUGCUCCUCUGACGUUAGCGGCGGACGGGUGAGUAACACGUGGAUAACCUACCUAUAAGACUGGGAUAACUUCGGGAAACCGGAGCUAAUACCGGAUAAUAUAUUGAACCGCAUGGUUCAAUAGUGAAAGACGGUUUUGCUGUCACUUAUAGAUGGAUCCGCGCCGCAUUAGCUAGUUGGUAAGGUAACGGCUUACCAAGGCAACGAUGCGUAGCCGACCUGAGAGGGUGAUCGGCCACACUGGAACGGAGACACGGUCCAGACUCCUACGGGAGGCAGCAGUAGGGAAUCUUCCGCAAUGGGCGAAAGCUUGACGGAGCAACGCCGCGGGAGUGAUGAAGGUCUUCGGAUCGUAAAACUCUGUUAUUAGGGAAGAACAAAUGUGUAAGUAACUAUGCACGUCUUGACGGUACCUAAUCAGAAAGCCACGGCUAACUACGUG